UAAGGAAUAUUGGUCAAUGGACGCAAGUCUGAACCAGCCAUGCCGCGUGAAGGAUGAAGGCCCUCUGGGUUGUAAACUUCUUUUAUCUGGGACGAAAAAAGGGAAUUCUUUCUCACUUGACGGUACCAGAGGAAUAAGCACCGGCUAACUCCGUGCCAGCAGCCGCGGUAAUACGGAGGGUGCAAGCGUUAUCCGGAUUUACUGGGUUUAAAGGGUGCGUAGGUGGAUAGAUAAGUCAGCGGUGAAAUCUCCGGGCUUAACUCGGAAACUGCCAUUGAUACUAUUUGUCUUGAAUAUCCUGGAGGUGAGCGGAAUAUGUCAUGUAGCGGUGAAAUGCUUAGAUAUGACAUAGAACACCUAUUGCGAAGGCAGCUCACUACGGGAUUAUUGACACUGAGGCACGAAAGCGUGGGGAUCAAACAGGAUUAGAUACCCGCGUAGUCC
rnacentral:rRNA from 1 species